UGAUUGGUUGCUGCAUUAAAUUGUGACGAGCUGGAAUCAGUUUUAAUUGUGUUAGGAGUAUGAUUAUCUUUUGAAUUUUGAUGACUGUUUGUCCGGUAGCUUAGACGAUUUUUGAUAUAGUGUAGUCAUGUGAUUUUCGGUUUCAGAACCGAUGCCUGUGACCUCCUGCAGGCCUCUUGAGGAACUGUCAUGAUGAUUGAUUUUGUUGACACAGAUUGAGGCUCAGUGUAUCAUAAUCGCAAGACAUAUAACAAUGAAGCGAAAACGUGCAAUUGGGGGGCAGAAACGUAAAACAACCGCGAGGAAAAAUAAACUUCUUAAUGAUGUGAUGAAUGAUGAAGCAGGAGAACCUGAAACUAACAUGAGCGCCCCACCUGUUGAUAAAUCUUUAUCUAAUGAGAGAACAAAUGAAAAUGCCACCUCACUUGAAAAAUACCCAACUGCAUUACGUGAGAUGAUUGUUUCGAUUAUUAAAGAAAUCUCUCAGGAACCGGGCGGCCUAGCUAACCUGUCAAGGAGCUUGGUUGAUAUUGAUACUCCAGUCAGCAGUGGACCGACAGUGCAACCUCUUGAGGGAAAUAAAAGCCCACUAAAUCAAAACAUUGAAUACAAGGAGCAGGAAUUAAAUGCCGCAUUAACAGUAAUUAUAACGACGAUGAAUUUGGAUGCAGCGGAUCCAUUUAACAGACCUGUAGAUCCCGUUGAACUUGAUAUACCUGAUUACUUUGAUGUUAUCAAGACACCUAUGGAUUUUGGUACAAUAUACAACAAUCUUAAGAAUGGUCGUAAGUACAUGAAUUCAGUAGAUGUGUUCAAGGAUGUACAAUAUAUUUGGUAUAAUUGUAUCAAAUAUAAUAAGAAGGGUGAUUACAUUUUGGAGCUCAUGAAUCGGGUCAAGACAUUCUUCAUGAAGCACUGGAUAGCAGCGGGAUUGCACACCGAACAAUCGACAUCUGUUGUUGAACCUAGCAUGCAUAAUGAGGAACAUUCUGGAAGCCCCGUUACUCAUGUUUCUGACUACCCAUUGGGUCCACUUGCCAGUAUUGCUUCCUGCCUGCAGCAAAAAGAUGCUGGUUCUAACCAAGUAGCAGAACAUCACCCCAUGCUAAACACACUGGCUGGUCAACCCCAGCAGAGCUUAAGUCAACCAGAGUCUUCCUCAGAACAGGAUGAGCCUGCCACUGAUGCAACAAAUGUUCAAAAGAAGCGCCAAGGUCGAGGUCGAGGGCCCACACGUUGCCUUAAAUUAUUAACUACAGCUGGACGGGUAAAAAUCAUCACCAACGAUCUGGGGCAGCCUGUAGGUCGUGAGGCAUCCCUAUUAACCAGCUUCUUAGGCCUCACCGCACGUGACGGGAACUUGGCUCCGCUUACUUAUUCUAGUUGGAGCAAAGUCCCCGAAGAGAACAAGGAGAACAUGUGGCAGAAAGUUCUGACAAAGUUUGAUAUUGACCCGUGUAGUCGAAGUUGGGUGGUGAAGUCGCUUGGAACUAAAUGGAGAAAUUUCAAGUCCCUUCUUAAGGCUACACAUUACGAUACUCACACGACUGAUGAGGAGCGGCUUGCUGACCGUGAUGAGAGGGUCCUUCCCGAUCAGUGGGCGGUUCUUGUUUCUCAGUGGAGCUCUGAAAAAUGGCAGCGUAUUAGUGCCAAAAAUAAAGCCAACCGCGCAAGGCAAAAGUUCAACCACACCUCUGGCAAAAAAAGCUUUGCAAGAAUACGUGAAGAGGAGAAAGCAAAACGUCCUGACGGGAAGGAACCCUCAAAAGCGGAACUAUUUAUAUUGACCCGAACGCGCAAAAAUGGUCAGCCCGUGAAUGAAGAAACAGCUGCUGUAAUUUCUCAACUUUGUGAAACGGAAACCAACAAGGAACAAUCAACGAUCAACAAAAACGAACCUCAAGAUGACGCGUACGAUCGUGUAAUGGGAGUUGAUAGAAAAGGCUCUGCGUCCCUACUCGGAUUAAACGCUGCCCCUUCUCAUUUUGGGUCUGAAAUUCCUACUCGGGCGGAGGCUUUAAGGAUGGUUAGUGAGAAGAAUGCAGAGGUUGUUGAAAUGAAGCAGAAACUCGCAUCGGUGGAGGAAACGUGCUCACAGAUGGCCGCUCAGAUGUCUGCCAUGAUGUCGAUGAUGGCUAACAUGCAAAAGGCUUCCCCUGGGACAAAUUUUAAUAAUGAAGCCUACCCCUCGGGACCUUGCGGUGAGCUCGGUAACACCAUCCCAUGUGGUUUGGGGCCGGGCAAAAAAACCCGAGCGGCCUCUCUCCAUCGCAUCUCCUUGUUGGUGGCACUUCGGUUCCAGUGAGUGUACCGUAUCAGUCGGAACCUAUCUCUACAUCUAAUCCUGAUGUUCCUUCAAGACAGACUCGUGGAAGAAAAAAGAGAAGGUAGAAAAACCCGCAAGGUGAUUUCAAGGGUUCAGGAAAAGCAAUCUUCAUGUGGGUAAUUUGCAACUUCUGUAAGAUGUCUUAGUAAAAGAUCUUCUAAAUAAACUUGUUAAUGAAGUUGAGUUAUCUUGAUUGCAACGCAGUUAUCUAGUAGGGAUAUUUAAUGUUACAUGUAAGAGUCAAGAGGAUGUUUCAAUUAUCUUUUAAUUUCAGACUUUUGACUUAGUAACCGAA